CCCAUUUCAAAUUCGAAAAAGAAACGUAAACUUGCAGUGAAAAGAGCUCUUCUCACCUCUUUAACAAGUAAAAACUGAAAAGUGAUGUUGAAGCUGAAAACAAAUAUGAGAAAACUGUUGCUGUGCAAACCAGAGAAGAAAAUGUGUCAGCUUCUGACAAUUUACCAAUUAUCAGUUUGAAGAAGAAAACAGUCCAAGGCAGUUCCGAAACCACCUCUCCUACUGCCACAUCAGAAGCUAAAACCUCUAAAAAGGAGAAAAAAUGGCAUUAGUCAACCAAACAACAAAUGCAGCAACAACAAAAGCCCUGUACC